rnacentral:lncRNA from 7 species
CUUUAGAACUAAGUUUGUCUGUUUGUUUGGCAAACAUGAUCUAUAUACUGACAUGAACUUUGUGUGUUCCCUAAUUUCAUGCAUUAUUUCACAUUGGCUUACUCUGUUUCAUUGUGCUCUUUCUUGUUAAAACUAGAUUAACUACCAUGACUAUUUGAACGUUGAGGACCAGAGUUGAUUUUCUUCAAAGUACGCAAAGGUAGUUUGCCAUCCUACUAAUAUAUUGGC